rnacentral:lncRNA from 1 species
UCGGUUUUCGUGUUCCAUCACUAGAAUUAGUUAUGCGAAUCGGAUAAUUCGAAUCCAGGUCACCCUCUUGCUCACGAAUAAUAAUAUGCUAAUAUUCGACUUUUACUAAGGCGAGUUAAACUAAAUAUAGAACAAGAAAAUAGAGAAAAUAAAGAACAAAAAAAAGCAUUAAUUAAAUUAAAAUAUAGAGAAAAUGAAGUCAUAAAUUCAUAUAGUGAGUUAGUUCCCUUAUACCAUAUCACAUCUUAGCUCAUUAAUAAAACUUUAUAAUAAAGUUUAAUUAAAAGACCUAAAUUACAAAAUUGAGGCCACCCUAUUAUAUUAUAUAUGAAAAAUUAAUAAUCAAUAAAAACAUUUUUUUUCAAGCAGCUGGAGCGUAAUCGUAACCUCCAUCGUCGUCGUCUCCAUCACCUUCGAUUAUAAAUUUAGCCGGUGGACAAUUAUACCCUUCAACUGGAAAAAAUUCACCAUCUAGAACCUUCUUCUCCAACGAGCCGUCGCCAUUAUUGAAAAUAAUAUACAUUUUUUUUAAUAUUUUUUUUCAAAUAAUGAGAAGCUGAUGAAAAGAUAAAUUAAUUAACUGCUUUAAAGUACUUCGAACAAUUUGUUGGUUUCGAAUUUUGAUGAAU